AACAAAACGUUUUGUUAUUUAAUUUUGUAUUUUAAAAGCAGAUUUUUGAAUAGCUUUCACAAAAAAUUGGAAUAUAGAUAAUCGAAAAAUUUUGUUAUUUUCACACACUCAUUUUUUAUAACAUGAAAUUAAAAUUUGUUUUUUUUAAAACCAAUAAUGAGUUUAUGCGAUAAAUGUGUAACUGAAAAACGAUAAGUAAAAAAAGUGUUGAAGUUUCAACACGUCACUGGCGAAUUGACACUCAAGCCAAAACCCAGCAACAACAACAACAUUUCUGCGUGUCUGCAGCUGGCGGAGCUCCGUUGGAAAAAUUUAAAUUCUAUCACUAAAAGUAUUAGUUUGAUUGGUUUGAAUUGUGCUUAAAAUUGUUCCGGAACAGAAGGACAAGAUCUGUGGCAUUGAGGAUGGAAAUUUCAGCAUGUCCGAACAAAACUUCAUUGGAAAAAAUCAUCGGGAUGACUCAGGCGAAGAAUUUACGCCAACAGCAGCAUUCUCAUCAAAGAUCAGCCAGCAAGGCUAGCAGCUUUCAAGAUGCAACGCCCCAAAUUGUGCCGCCAUUCUUUCGGGAAUAAAUUUAACUUCACUGUUAUGUGUUGUGAGCCUAUAUUUUAAGGUUUUGUGAAUCUUUCAAUUGUUUGAGAAUAAAGAAAACAACUAAUA